CCUACGGGGGGCUGCAGUGGGGAAUAUUGGACAAUGGGGGGAACCCUGAUCCAGCCAUGCCGCGUGUGUGAAGAAGGCCCUCGGGAUGUAAAGCACUUUCAGUGAGGAAGAACGCCUGGUGGUUAAUACCCAUCAGGAAAGACAUCACUCACAGAAGAAGCACCGGCUAACUCCGUGCCAGCAGCCGCGGUAAUACGGAGGGUGCGAGCGUUAAUCGGAAUUACUGGGCGUAAAGCGCGCGUAGGUGGCUUGAUAAGCCGGUUGUGAAAGCCCCGGGCUCAACCUGGGAACGGCAUCCGGAACUGUCAAGCUAGAGUGCAGGAGAGGAAGGUAGAAUUCCCGGUGUAGCGGUGAAAUGCGUAGAGAUCGGGAGGAAUACCAGUGGCGAAGGCGGCCUUCUGGACUGACACUGACACUGAGGUGCGAAAGCGUGGGUAGCAAACAGGAUUAGAUACCCGAGUAGUC
rnacentral:rRNA from 1 species